CUCAAGGCUCUUUUAAGAGCCACCACAUUAUCACAAGAGAGUUGAA
rfam:Acanthisitta chloris contig96712, whole genome shotgun sequence.